UACGUAGGGAGCAAGCGUUGUUCGGAUUUACUGGGCGUAACGGGCGCGUAGGCGGCGCGGUAAGUCACUUGUGAAAUCUCUGAGCUUAACUCAGAACGGCCAAGUGAUACUGCAGUGCUAGAGUGCAGAAAGGGCAAUCGGAAUUCUUGGUGUAGCGGUGAAAUGCGUAGAUAUCAAGAGGAACACCUGAGGCGAAGGCGGGUUGCUAGGCUGACACUGACGCUGAGUGCGCGAAAGCCAGGGGAGCAAACGGG
rnacentral:rRNA from 1 species